rnacentral:misc_RNA from 1 species
GAAAAACGAAACAAAGGUCAAGGUAAAAAGAUAUUGAAAAUUCCCCAAUUUAAUGCCAUUAUUCCAAAAACUCAUUAAGAUCAUGCCUAAUUGAUACGAAAUGCCUAACCAACUGAAUUAAACAACAAAAAACACUAGAAAUACUAAAUGUGAUGAGAGUAAAAUUAAUAAUUUAUGUACUUAUCAUAUGCAUAUUAUUGUUGGCUUGUU